rnacentral:rRNA from 1 species
UACAGAGGGUGCGAGCGUUAAUCGGAAUUACUGGGCGUAAAGCGCACGUAGGCGGCUUGGUAUGUCGGGGGUGAAAUCCCCGGGCUCAACCUGGGAACUGCAUCCGAAACUGCCUUGCUCGAGUAUGGGAGAGGGAAGUGGAAUUUCCGGUGUAGCGGUGAAAUGCGCAGAUAUCAGGAGGAACACCGGUGGCGAAGGCGGGUCUCUGGGCAAUAACUGACGCUGAGGAGCGAAAGCGUGGGGAGCGAACAGG